GGUCAACUAAAGUUGAUCGACACAGUAGAGAAUUUUUAAGCGAUCUAAAUGAUGACCAACUAGAAGAACAACUGAUUAGAUCGAGCCAAAGGCUUGAAGAACUCAACAAAGAGGUUUGUCUUUCAUUUUGAUUUGAAGAAGAAUCUUAUGCUUGUACAUUGUUUGCUUACAAUUUCAAGAGGUUCCAAUUAUUUUCAGAAGUUUACUGAUGAC